UUACUUGCUAGUGCAGCACCAUUAAGAUUCACAUAGAAAAUAUGGAACGAAAUUUGCUCAAUUUUUCAAUAUAUGAGAAUCUUGAUGAUGCUGCAUUGGCAAAUCG
rnacentral:pre_miRNA from 1 species